rnacentral:rRNA from 1 species
AUGAGGGGAUUGAGGAAAGGGUGGAGGCAACGACAGUUUGCAGCAAAUAAACAUCCAUCAUUGGUUGCAUGUGUGAGGAUAACUACCUGCAGGUCAUGUUCCAGAAUCCCCCUUUCAAUCUUCUAUCCCCAUAGACUGAAUAUGAGGAAAAUUGUGCUGGCGAUCUUUUCUAUACUAAGCAAUGGUAAUUAUUUUGUUCCCGUGAAACUCCAGGUUUGGCUGAUUGAUGAGUUCCAUAACCCACUCAAGAAAUAUGAAAGAAAAGGUAAAGUCAAGACACAGUUUGGUUUGUCAUUUUGA